UUAAGCGACUAAGCGUACACGGUGGAUGCCCUGGCAGUCAGAGGCGAUGAAGGGCGUGCUAAUCUGCGAUAAGCGCCGGUAAGGUGAUAUGAACCGUUAUAACCGGCGAUACCCGAAUGGGGAAACCCAGUGUGACUCGUCACACUAUCAUUAACUGAAUCCAUAGGUUAAUGAGGCGAACCGGGGGAACUGAAACAUCUAAGUACCCCGAGGAAAAGAAAUCAACCGAGAUUCCCCCAGUAGCGGCGAGCGAACGGGGAGGAGCCCAGAGCCUGAAUCAGCAUGUGUGUUAGUGGAAGCGUCUGGAAAGGCGCGCGAUACAGGGUGACAGCCCCGUACACAAAAGCGCAUGUGCUGUGAGCUCGAUGAGUAGGGCGGGACACGUGGUAUCCUGUCUGAAUAUGGGGGGACCAUCCUCCAAGGCUAAAUACUCCUGACUGACCGAUAGUGAACCAGUACCGUGAGGGAAAGGCGAAAAGAACCCCGGCGAGGGGAGUGAAAAAGAACCUGAAACCGUGUACGUACAAGCAGUGGGAGCCCCACCACUAAGCCAGUGGUGAACUCCACAUACGCAUCCUUUGCUGAGGAUACGGUUAACGGAGCGAAAGCGACGUUCAACCGCAAAACAAGCAGAGGGGGCUUAGUGGUGGGGUGACUGCGUACCUUUUGUAUAAUGGGUCAGCGACUUAUAUUCUGUAGCAAGGUUAACCGAAUAGGGGAGCCGGAGGGAAACCGAGUCUUAAUUGGGCGUUAAGUUGCAGGGUAUAGACCCGAAACCCGGUGAUCUAGCCAUGGGCAGGUUGAAGGUUGGGUAACACUAACUGGAGGACCGAACCGACUAAUGUUGAAAAAUUAGCGGAUGACCUGUGGCUGGGGGUGAAAGGCCAAUCAAACCGGGAGAUAGCUGGUUCUCCCCGAAAGCUAUUUAGGUAGCGCCUCGUGAAUUCAUCUCCGGGGGUAGAGCACUGUUUCGGCUAGGGGGCCAUCCCGGCUUACCAACCCGAUGCAAACUGCGAAUACCGGAGAAUGUUAUCACGGGAGACACACGGCGGGUGCUAACGUCCGUCGUGAAGAGGGAAACAACCCAGACCGCCAGCUAAGGUCCCAAAGUCAUGGUUAAGUGGGAAACGAUGUGGGAAGGCCCAGACAGCCAGGAUGUUGGCUUAGAAGCAGCCAUCAUUUAAAGAAAGCGUAAUAGCUCACUGGUCGAGUCGGCCUGCGCGGAAGAUGUAACGGGGCUAAACCAUGCACCGAAGCUGCGGCAGCGACACUCAGGUGUUGUUGGGUAGGGGAGCGUUCUGUAAGCCUGUGAAGGUGGCCUGUGAGGGUUGCUGGAGGUAUCAGAAGUGCGAAUGCUGACAUAAGUAACGAUAAAGCGGGUGAAAAGCCCGCUCGCCGGAAGACCAAGGGUUCCUGUCCAACGUUAAUCGGGGCAGGGUGAGUCGACCCCUAAGGCGAGGCCGAAAGGCGUAGUCGAUGGGAAACAGGUUAAUAUUCCUGUACUUGGUGUUACUGCGAAGGGGGGACGGAGAAGGCUAUGUUGGCCGGGCGACGGUUGUCCCGGUUUAAGCGUGUAGGUGUGUGUUCCAGGUAAAUCCGGUUCACUUUAACACUGAGGCGUGAUGACGAGGCACUACGGUGCUGAAGCAACAAAUGCCCUGCUUCCAGGAAAAGCCUCUAAGCAUCAGGUAACAUCAAAUCGUACCCCAAACCGACACAGGUGGUCAGGUAGAGAAUACCAAGGCGCUUGAGAGAACUCGGGUGAAGGAACUAGGCAAAAUGGUGCCGUAACUUCGGGAGAAGGCACGCUGACACGUAGGUGAAGUGAUUUACUCAUGGAGCUGAAGUCAGUCGAAGAUACCAGCUGGCUGCAACUGUUUAUUAAAAACACAGCACUGUGCAAACACGAAAGUGGACGUAUACGGUGUGACGCCUGCCCGGUGCCGGAAGGUUAAUUGAUGGGGUCAGCGCAAGCGAAGCUCCUGAUCGAAGCCCCGGUAAACGGCGGCCGUAACUAUAACGGUCCUAAGGUAGCGAAAUUCCUUGUCGGGUAAGUUCCGACCUGCACGAAUGGCGUAAUGAUGGCCAGGCUGUCUCCACCCGAGACUCAGUGAAAUUGAACUCGCUGUGAAGAUGCAGUGUACCCGCGGCAAGACGGAAAGACCCCGUGAACCUUUACUAUAGCUUGACACUGAACAUUGAGCCUUGAUGUGUAGGAUAGGUGGGAGGCUUUGAAGCGUGGACGCCAGUCUGCAUGGAGCCGACCUUGAAAUACCACCCUUUAAUGUUUGAUGUUCUAACGUGGACCCGUAAUCCGGGUUGCGGACAGUGUCUGGUGGGUAGUUUGACUGGGGCGGUCUCCUCCUAAAGAGUAACGGAGGAGCACGAAGGUUGGCUAAUCCUGGUCGGACAUCAGGAGGUUAGUGCAAUGGCAUAAGCCAGCUUGACUGCGAGCGUGACGGCGCGAGCAGGUGCGAAAGCAGGUCAUAGUGAUCCGGUGGUUCUGAAUGGAAGGGCCAUCGCUCAACGGAUAAAAGGUACUCCGGGGAUAACAGGCUGAUACCGCCCAAGAGUUCAUAUCGACGGCGGUGUUUGGCACCUCGAUGUCGGCUCAUCACAUCCUGGGGCUGAAGUAGGUCCCAAGGGUAUGGCUGUUCGCCAUUUAAAGUGGUACGCGAGCUGGGUUUAGAACGUCGUGAGACAGUUCGGUCCCUAUCUGCCGUGGGCGCUGGAGAACUGAGGGGGGCUGCUCCUAGUACGAGAGGACCGGAGUGGACGCAUCACUGGUGUUCGGGUUGUCAUGCCAAUGGCACUGCCCGGUAGCUAAAUGCGGAAGAGAUAAGUGCUGAAAGCAUCUAAGCACGAAACUUGCCCCGAGAUGAGUUCUCCCUGAGACUUUAAGUCUCCUGAAGGAACGUUGAAGACGACGACGUUGAUAGGCCGGGUGUGUAAGCGCAGCGAUGCGUUGAGCUAACCGGUACUAAUGAACCGUGAGGCUUAACCUU
rnacentral:rRNA from 1 species